CAGGUACUCAUCACAUUUAAGGCUCUUCAGGUCAACAGUGAGCUAUGGUCAUAACUUUAAUGCUAUAUUUAAGAAUUUCUACAACACAUCAUCACAAGAAUUUCUUUUGGCUGGCUCUGGUGGGUCUUCUUUCUUGUUUUUGGUUCCUCUUGAGGCAGCAGAGGGAAAAGAGUGUUGGUGGAGAGUGGAAGACCAGGAAACCAAAGGUUGAACUGCCUGUGGACUUGAUGCCUGGCCAGAACCCACCUCCUAUGUCGAGCUGUUACCUAUUUUGGUAGAAGAGAAAUGUAUUCCUUUUACAAGAUUAUUAAUCCAACUUGUGGAAAGUGAGUAGGCCAAAGGUCAUCAUCAUCUUGAG